rnacentral:tRNA from 1 species
CCGUAGCUCAGCUGGAUAGAGCAACGGCCUUCUAAGCCGUGGGUCGCAGGUUCGAAUCCUGCCGGGC